rnacentral:lncRNA from 1 species
GUUGGAAUGAAGGCUGGAGCCAAAUCCUGGCUCGCCCCCUUACUAGUCACAUAGCAAAUCCUGGCUCACCCCUCACUAGUCACAUAUCAAAUCCUGUCUCACCCCUCACUAGUCACAUAUCAAAUCCUGUCUCACCCCCUUACUAGUCACAUAUCAAAUCCUGGCUCACCCCCUUACUAGUCACAUAUCAAAUCCUGGCUCACUCGUCACUAGUCACGUAUCGAAUCCUGGCUGACCCCCUGACUAGUCACAUAUCAAAUCCUGGCUCGCCCCUCAGUAGCCACAUAUCAAAUCCUGGCUCACUCCUCACUACUCACGUAUCGAAUCCUGGCUCACCCCCUUACUAGUCACAUAUCAAAUCCUGGUUCGCCCACUUACUAGUCACAUAUCGAAUCCUGGCUCGCCCCUCACUAGCCACAUAUCAAAUCCUGUCUGGCUCACCCCUCACUAGCCACAUAUCAAAUCCUGGCUCACCCCUCACUAGCCACAUAUCAAAUCCUGGCUCACCCCUCACUAGUCACAUAUCAAAUCGUGGCUCAUCCCUCACUAGUCACAUAUCAAAUCCUGGCUCACCCCUCACUAGUCACAUAUCAAAUCCUGUCUCAUCCCUCACUAGUCACAUAUCAAAUCUUGGCUAACCCCUUACUAGUCACAUCGAAUCCUGGCUCGCCCCCUUACUAGUCACAUACCAAAUCCUGGCUCGUCCCCUUACUAGUCACAUACCAAAUCCUGGCUGACCCCUUACGAGUCACAUAUCGAAUCCUGGCUCACCCCUCACUAGUCACAUAUCAAAUCCUGGCUUGUCCCCUUGCUAGUCACGUAUCAAAUCCUGGCCGACCCCUUACUAGUCCCAUAUGAAAUCCUGGCUGACCCCUCACUAGUCACAUAUCAAAUCCUGGCUUGUCCCCUUGCUAGUCACAUAUCAAAUCCUGGCCGACCCCUUACUAGUCCCGUAUCAAAUCCUGGCUGACCCCUUACUAGUCACACAUUGAAUCCUGGCUCACCCCUCACUAGGCACAUAUCCUUGGGCCUGUCACUUACCCUCUUUGAGCCUCCAAGUCCCAUCCACUAAACGGAGCUCAACUUAGCAGGAAUUUCAUCCGAUGAGAUAAUGUAUCCAGGACACAGUAAAUACGCAGUUACCUUUUCCUUCCCACCCCACCAACAAAUACAGAUAGCACUGAAUCGCCCAGGCC